CGGGGAAUGAUUGCACAAUGGGCGCGAAGCCUAGAUGCAGCCAUGCCGCGUGUAUGAAGAAGGCCUUCGGGUUGUAAAGUACUUUCAGCGAGGAGGAAGGCAUUAAGGUUAAUAACCUUAGUGAUUGACGUUACUCGCAGAAGAAGCACCGGCUAACUCCGUGCCAGCAGCCGCGGUAAUACGGAGGGUGCAAGCGUUAAUCGGAAUUACUGGGCGUAAAGCGCACGCAGGCGGUCUGUCAAGUCGGAUGUGAAAUCCCCGGGCUCAACCUGGGAACUGCAUUCGAAACUGGCAGGCUAGAGUCUUGUAGAGGGG
rnacentral:rRNA from 1 species